GUUUAGCCCUGAUGGGAACGGCAUCCUGUCAUUGCGAGCUAGCGUGGCAAUCUUUUUUGAUUGCUUCAUUUUUCGCAAUGACAGAUACAGUGGACAGCAGGAAAAAGC
rnacentral:sRNA from 1 species